UACGGAGGGUGCAAGCGUUUUUCGGAAUUAUUGGGCGUAAAGCGCGUGUAGGUGGUCGUGUAAGUCAGAUGUGAAAGCCUUCUGCUUAACAGAAGAAGUGCAUUUGAAACUGCUCGGCUAGAGUACGGGAGAGGAGAGUGGAAUUCCCGGUGUAGAGGUGAAAUUCGUAGAUAUCGGGAGGAACACCAGUGGCGAAGGCGGCUCUCUGGUCCGAUACUGACGCUGAGACGCGAAAGCGUGGGGAGCAAACAGG
rnacentral:rRNA from 1 species